GAUGAACGCUGGCGGCGUGCCUAAUACAUGCAAGUCGAGCGAACAGAUGAGGAGCUUGCUCCUCUGACGUUAGCGGCGGACGGGUGAGUAACACGUGGAUAACCUACCUAUAAGACUGGGAUAACUUCGGGAAACCGGAGCUAAUACCGGAUAAUAUAUUGAACCGCAUGGUUCAAUAGUGAAAGACGGUUUUGCUGUCACUUAUAGAUGGAUCCGCGCCGCAUUAGCUAGUUGGUAAGGUAACGGCUUACCAAGGCAACGAUGCGUAGCCGACCUGAGAGGGUGAUCGGCCACACUGGAACUGAGACACGGUCCAGACUCCUACGGGAGGCAGCAGUAGGGAAUCUUCCGCAAUGGGCGAAAGCCUGACGGAGCAACGCCGCGUGAGUGAUGAAGGUCUUCGGAUCGUAAAACUCUGUUAUUAGGGAAGAACAAAUGUGUAAGUAACUAUGCACGUCUUGACGGUACCUCAUCAGAAAGCCACGGCUAACUACGUG
rnacentral:rRNA from 1 species